rnacentral:rRNA from 1 species
UGGGGGAUAUUGCACAAUGGGCGAAAGCCUGAUGCAGCGACGCCGCGUGGGGGAUGAAGGCCUUCGGGUUGUAAACUUCUUUUGCUCUGAACAAGGCGCACCAUGGGGUGUGUUGAGUGUAGGGGUUGAUUAGCGCCGGCUAACUACGUGCCAGCAGCCGCGGUAAUACGUAGGGCGCGAGCGUUGUCCGGAAUUAUUGGGCGGAAAGGGCUUGUAGGUGGCUGGUUGCGUCUGUCGUGAAAGCUCAUGGCUUAACUGUGGGUUUGCGGUGGGUACGGGCUGGCUUGAGUGCAGUAGGGGAGGCUGGAAUUCCUGGUGUAGCGGUGGAAUGAGCAGAUAUCAGGAGGAAUACCGGUGGCGAAGGCGGGUCUCUGGGCUGUUACUGACACUGAGGAGCGAAAGCAUGGGGAGCGAAGAGG